rnacentral:rRNA from 1 species
AUUGAACGCUGGCGGCAGGCCUAACACAUGCAAGUCGAACGAGUGGCGGACGGGUGAGUAAUGUCUGGGAAACUGCCCGAUGGAGGGGGAUAACUACUGGCAACGGUAGCUAAUACCGCAUACCAUCGGAUGUGCCCAGAUGGGAUUAGCUAGUAGGUGGGGUAACGGCUAAACUAGGCGACGGUCCCUCGCUGGUCGGAGAUGAUGACCAGCCACACUGGAACUGAGAAACGGUCCAGACUCCUACGGGAGGCAGCAGUGGGGAAUAUUGCACAAUGGGCGCAAGCCUGAGGCAGCCAUGCCGAGUGGAUGAAGAAGGCCUUCGGGUUGUAAAGUACUUUCAGCGAGGAGGCGUUACUCGCAGAAGAAGCACCUGCUAACUCCGUGCCAGCAGCCGCGGUAAUAC